AAGGGUAUAGCUCAAGUGGUAGAGUGCAUGAUUAGCAUGCAUGAGGUUCUGGGUUCAAUCCCCAGUACCUCUC
rnacentral:tRNA from 1 species